CGCCUGUUUAACAAAAACAUUUCUUUUUGUAUUUUUUAAAAAGUAUCUUCUGCCCUAUGAUUAUUAUAUUAAAUGGCUGCAGUAUUUUGACUGUGCAAAGGUAGCAUAGUAAUUAGUUUCUUAAUUAGGAGCUUGAAUGAAUGGAUGGAUGAGAAGUAUAUUUUAUUAUUUUUUUGAUUAAAAAUUUAAAUUUAAGUAAAAAUGCUUAAUUGAUUUUUUGGGACGAUAAGACCCUAUAGAACUUUAUAUAUACAUAUUUACUAAGUUUUUAAUAUAAUAACUUUAUUAAUCUUGUCUAUGCUUCGCUGGGGUGGUGAGUAAAUUUUAACUUUAUUUGAUUAUAUCAAUUAUAAUUGUUAAUAGAGAUCUUUUUUAGGAAUUAUAAGAAUAAGUUACCUUAGGGAUAACAGCGUAAUCUUAGUGGAAAGUCCAUAUUUAUACUAAGGUUUGCGACCUCGAUGUUGAAUUAAGAUUAGUUAAAGAGGCAGUUUUCUUUAUAUUAGGUCUGUUCGACCUUUAAAUUCUUACCUUGAUCUGAGUUCAGACCGG
rnacentral:rRNA from 1 species